rnacentral:rRNA from 1 species
AUUGAACGCUGGCGGCAUGCUUUACACAUGCAAGUCGAACGGUAACAGGCCGCAAGGUGCUGACGAGUGGCGAACGGGUGAGUAAUGCAUCGGAACGUGCCCAGUCGUGGGGGAUAACGCAGCGAAAGCUGCGCUAAUACCGCAUACGAUCUAUGGAUGAAAGCGGGGGACCGUAAGGCCUCGCGCGAUUGGAGCGGCCGAUGUCAGAUUAGGUAGUUGGUGGGGUAAAGGCUCACCAAGCCAACGAUCUGUAGCUGGUCUGAGAGGACGACCAGCCACACGGGGACUGAGCGACGGCCCAGACGCCAACGGGAGGCAGCAGUGGGGAAUUUUGGACAAUGGGCGCAAGCCUGAUCCAGCAAUGCCGCGUGCAGGAAGAAGGCCUUCGGGUUGUAAACUGCUUUUGUACGGAACGAAACGGUCCUGGUUAAUACCUGGGGCUAAUGACGGUACCGUAAGAAUAAGCACCGGCUAACUACGUGCCAGCAGCCGCAGUAAUAC